UACGUAGGAGGCGAGCGUUGUCCGGAGUUACUGGGCUUAAAGCGUGUGUAGGCGGACUUCUAAGUACCUUGUGAAAUCCCACGGCUCACCCGUGGAACUGCUCGGUAUACUGGUUGUCUUGAGCCUUCUAGGGGCGAGUGGAACAAAUGGUGGAGCGGUGAAAUGCGUAGAUAUCAUUUGGAACGCCAAUGGUGAAAACAACUCGCUGGGGAAGUGCUGACGCUGAGACACGAAAGCCAGGGGAGCGAACGGG
rnacentral:rRNA from 1 species